rnacentral:rRNA from 1 species
GACGUAGGGUCGCGAGCGUUGUCCGGAAUUAUUGGGCGUAAAGAGCUCGUAGGCGGCUGUCGCGUCGACUGUGAAAACCCGCAGCUCAACUGUGGGCUGCAUUCGAUACGGGCAGGCUAGAGUUCGGUAGGGAGACGUGGAAUUCCUGUGUAGCGGUGAAUGACGCAGAUAUCAGGAGGAACACCGGUGGCGAAGGCGGUCUCUGGCCGAUACUGACGCUGAGGAGCGAAAGCGUGGGAGCAACAGGAUUAGAACCUA